UUCAGCGGCUGGCGGCGCUAUGCGAAUGGCGAAUGCCUCCAUCCGGGCACCGGCCACCCCGUCACGUCACAUCACAUCACGCCCCGCCCCGCCCCGCCCCGCCCCUGCUGCCCGCCGCAGAGGACGUGGCUCCGCCGGGGAGAAGGACGGAGCCAUCACGUGACUUAAACCCACGUACACAUUCUCCGGGCCUGACUGCGCAUGCGCUAGGCUCCCCCCCCCUCCACGCGCAUGGGCAGAUCUCAGUCGGGGUAAGGGCUAUGUCUGUUGGGAUACUUCUACGCGUGCGCAAUGCGUCCCCUUUGCUCGGAGGUCGAGGGUGUAGUACGUAUGUGCGAGCCUUUUGGCGGUGGUCCUGCGUUCCCGUUCUCGAGGGGUUUGAGAUACACUGGACACCAUUUUCAAAAGUCUUGAAAACCCUCACUUCAAGUAGAUUUGCAAAUUAGCAGCACAGUGUCUGAAAAUCAGUCCCAAAGUGUGUCAGAUGGUGCGUCCAAAAUUUGAUGCCACUUAUGAAAAUGUUGGACUUGGCAAAUACAGCUAUCAGGCAAGUGACCGAAAGAAGCCUCUUAGCCUUUUCUACCUCCUGUUGAAUUCCUCAAAUAAGAAAAAGCUGACAGAAAAAUAGUGGCUUGCCCAGAAACAGGUAUUAAGUGUGUGUAUUCAGUAGAAAGGGAAAGGCUUUCAGCAUAAAAGUAAGCUAUAAUUUGCUCUUUUAAAAUUAUUCUCCCUGGCUGCCCAUUGCAAUCCUUUGACACUUGCUGGAUUGGUAAAGACAGUUCACAACAUACAUUUCUGUGGUAUAACUGAUAGUUCAAGUCCCAUGCAAUGUUUGUGGAACAUAUCAGAACCUUUGGAAUUAUAUUUGAGUUAUAUAUACCUUAUUAUCUCUUACCUGUAUAAAGAAUUACAGGUUUUUACAAGCACUAGCCCUAUUUGAGGAUGUCACUUCAGCACAAUUAUUGUUCCUAAAUUUUAAGUUUUUGCUGACCUGUUACUCUAAAUCAGAAAUUAUGGGGUGAUCCUUAUUACAAAGCCUUGUGGCUACUACUAUUUGUAGUUCUCUUGGUGAUAUUAGUGCUAGUCAUAGUAGUAAAAGUAUGGUGCACAGUAGUUCUAAGGUCAUUUCAUCUGCAUCAUUAAAGUAUAGGGUUUGAUUCAUACUCAGUGGCUGAACCUGCUUAGUGUUGAGUGCUUUUUGUUGGCUUUAUGCAUGGGUGUCCACUUAAGAUCUAAAUGUAUGUAGACAACACUGGGCAUAUUGCAGGACUGAGCCAUACUGGUCUACGCCUGCUUCUAAUAAAAGCGAUGGCAAAACUUCGGUUAGCUUCUAC
rnacentral:lncRNA from 1 species